rnacentral:snoRNA from 1 species
CUCUGUACUCAUAAGUGACCAGGGGGUGCCCAUAUCCUGGUCAUUGGUAGUGCAGGCAGAGAAAAUGUAGAAAGAAUCAUCUUGCGUUUGGAAGGUCCACAUCCUCGCCAGUUUGGGGAGCUUUUCCAUU